rnacentral:lncRNA from 1 species
UGAUUUUUAGUAGAAUAUUCAAUGUAUACUACAAAAGUAGUAAUUAGAAUUUAAUUUGAAUUUGACCUUUUAGUUGUUAUUGUAUCCAAAUCUCCUUUCCUUUUUUUGUUGUCCGAUCACUGGUUCCUACAGCUCCAUACAUGCAUGAUCCAUUUUAUCUUAUGGUUGUUGCACCUUUUUUCCAUUUUAAACUCUGUCAUUGGGUCAGUAAAUACGUUGUUGUGGCUACCAAGAUAUAUCCUUAGUUUUUG